rnacentral:lncRNA from 13 species
AUGAUGUUCUUAUCUAACAACAACAGCACUUCCUUGGAGUACUUCAGGUAUUCAGGUGCCUAUCAAGAGAUCACAAUGGACCUAAAUAUGUUUCUUAACAGGAAACAUUGCAGGUGUCCAGAUCCAAGUUCAAGACAUUGUGUGAGUCUAAGAAAGGUGAUUAAGUGGGACAUUGCUGGUAUCAAGCCAAGACACUAUGUGGGACAAAAACACCACACAGCACAACCCAUCUGA